GUGGGGAAUAUUGGACAAUGGGCGAAAGCCUGAUCCAGCCAUGCCGCGUGUGUGAAGAAGGUCUUCGGAUUGUAAAGCACUUUAAGUUGGGAGGAAGGGCAGCAAGUUAAUACCUUUCUGUUUUGACGUUACCGACAGAAUAAGCAUCGGCUAACUUCGUGCCAGCAGCCGCGGUAAUACGAAGGGUGCAAGCGUUAAUCGGAAUUACUGGGCGUAAAGCGCGCGUCGGUGGUUUUGGAAGUUGGAGGUGAAAUCCCCGGGCUCAACCAGGGAGAUGCAUGCAAAACUGCAUUACUAGAGUACGUUAGAGGGUAGUGGAAUUUCAUGUGUAGCGGUGAAAUGCGUAGAUAUAGGAAGGAACACCAGUGGCGAAGGCGACUACCUGGACUGAUACUGACACUGAGGUGCGAAAGCGUGGGGAGCAAACAGGAUUAGAUACCCGGGUAGUCC
rnacentral:rRNA from 1 species